rnacentral:tRNA from 11 species
GCGCUGGCUUCGAGGGCGGGUUGGUUCGACUCCCACACCC